rnacentral:rRNA from 1 species
CCUACGGGUGGCUGCAGUGAGGAAUAUUGGUCAAUGGCCGGAAGGCUGAACCAGCCAUGCCGCGUGAAGGUCAGUGCCCUAUGGGCGUUAAACUUCUUUUGUGCGGGAGCAAUAAUGGUCACGUGUGGCCAGACGAGAGUACCGUACGAAUAAGCAUCGGCUAACUCCGUGCAAGCAGCCGCGGUAAUACGGGGGAUGCAAGCGUUAUCCGGAUUUAUUGGGUUUAAAGGGUGCGUAGGCUGUGAGGUAAGUCAGCGGUGAAAUGCCCCCGCUCAACGGGGUGAGGUGCCAUUGAUACUGCCUGGCUGGAAGGCGGAUGCGGUGGGAGAAAUGUGUGGGGUGGCGGUAAA